UAGGGAAUAUUAGAAAUGGACGAAAGUCUGAUCUAGCAACACCGCGUGUGCGAAGAAGGCCUUUGGGCCGUAAAGCACUUUUUGGAAGGAAUAGGAAGGAAUGUACUUCCAGAAUAAGUCUCGGCUAACUACGUGCCAGCAGCCGCGGUAAGACGUAGGAGGCAAACGUUAUCCGGAUUUACUGGGCGUAAAGCGCGUGUAGGUGGUACUGUAAGUAGGGCGUGAAAGCUCCUGGCUCAACUGGGAGAGGCCGUUCUAAACUACAGAACUAGAGGAUGGUAGAGGGAGGCGGAAUUCCAGGUGUAGCGGUGGAAUGCGCAGAUAUCUGGAGGAACACCGGUGGCGAAGGCGGCCUCCUGGACCAUUCCUGACACCCAGACGCGAAAGCUAGGGUAGCAAACGG
rnacentral:rRNA from 1 species